rnacentral:lncRNA from 1 species
GUGAUUUUCACCCUGCAGCUGUUAAACUGUUUUGCAGGCUAUUACGAGACUCGAGUUGCUUACUAUUCCUGGAGAGGAGCACCAGGGUACACCUUCGCAUCCGUCCCAGAUUAUUAGCCAUCUGUGUCUCCAGAAGUGUGGUUGUCAGACAGGAAGGCCAAGCACGUAGAGAGUUAAUUGAGCCACAAAUGGAGCUACAAAAUGAGCGAUUGGGCAUGAUAUGUAUAGGCAACAUAUCCUGGGCAUGAUAUGUAUAGGCAACAUAUCCUCUGAGACCUCGCUGUUUUCAUGCAUGGCUUAGCUUAGCUUAUAAAUGCUGCCCAGAAUGCUCGCAGCAUAGGUAUAUAGCCAGUUUUGGGUUCUCUCUUUGUUUGUUUUUUUGCUGGAUUAGAUGUUUCCACUUUGGAUUAGUUAUGGAUUGUGCAUCGAAUUUCCGGUCAUACUGCUUCAGCAUUCUGUACUGUAGCUGCUACAGACUGAUCAUAUGGCUGGGUGUUCCUUCAAGUACUUUUCCAUGAAGAUUGUGAUGCACUUGGCACAUGCCCUUGGCCUCAAAUGAGCUAUGGUGUUCUUCGUUUGCACGUAAUGUAUCGGGAAUGAAAUUAUUAUAUCGUAAUGCAUCUGUAAAGAGUGUGCAGUGAAGAGGCUAGAGCAAGCAAAGCAUAUAUCCUAGGAAGAGUGGAUGUCGCUGCAUUUGUCCUACAUGGCAAUUGUAUAUUUAGACUUGAGCAAGGGAAAUAAGUAUCUUGGUGGACCAUCU